rnacentral:rRNA from 1 species
UACGUAGGGGGCAAGCGUUGUCCGGAAUCAUUGGGCGUAAAGAGCGUGUAGGCGGCUCGGUAAGUCCGUUCUGAAAGUCCAGGGCUCAACCCUGGGAUGCGGAUGGAUACUGUCGGGCUCGAGUCCGGAAGAGGCGAGUGGAAUUCCUGGUGUAGCGGUGAAAUGCGCAGAUAUCAGGAAGAACACCCGUGGCGAAGGCGGCUCUCUGGGACGGUACUGACGCUGAGACGCGAAAGCGUGGGGAGCAAACAGG